rnacentral:rRNA from 1 species
GGAAAUCUCACCAGGCCCGGACACUGGAAGGAUUGACAGAUUGAUAGCUCUUUCUUGAUUCAGUGGGUGGUGGUGCAUGGCCGUUCUUAGUUGGUGGAGUGAUUUGUCUGGUUAAUUCGGAUAACGAACGAGACCCCAACCUGCUAACUAGCCCUCGGGUCCUGCUUCUGUUGGGCCCGACGGAAUGAUUCGCUUCUUAGAGGGACUCGCGGCGCCUAGCCGCACGAAGGGGGGCGAUAA